rnacentral:rRNA from 1 species
UACGGGGGGGGCUAGCGUUGUUCGGAAUUACUGGGCGUAAAGGGCGCGUAGGCGGCCAUCUAAGUCAGACGUGAAAUCCCUCGGCUCAACCGGGGAACUGCGUCUGAUACUGGGCGGCUUGAAUUCGGGAGAGGAAUGCGGAAUUCCAGGUGUAGCGGUGAAAUGCGUAGAUAUCUGGAGGAACACCGGUGGCGAAGGCGGCAUUCUGGACCGACAUUGACGCUGAGGCGCGAAAGCCAGGGGAGCAAACGGG